rnacentral:rRNA from 1 species
ACGGAGGGAGCUAGCGUUGUUCGGAAAUACUGGGCGUAAAGCGAACGUAGGCGGCUACGUAAGUCAGGGGUGAAAUCCCGGGGCUCAACCCCGGAACUGCCUUUGAAACUGCAUAGCUAGAAUCCUGGAGAGGUCAGUGGAAUUCCGAGUGUAGAGGUGAAAUUCGUAGAUAUUCGGAAGAACACCAGUGGCGAAGGCGACUGGCUGGACAGGUAUUGACGCUGAGGUUCGAAAGCGUGGGGAGCAAACAGG